AGAGUUUGAUCCUGGCUGAGGAUAAACGCUAGCGGCAGGCCUAACACAUGCAAGUCGAGGGGCAUCGGAUAGAGUACUUCGGUACUCUUGCCGGCGACCGGCGGACGGGUGCGUAACGCGUAUGCAACCUACCUUCAACAGGGGGAUAAUCCGAAGAAAUUUGGUCUAAUACCCCAUAAUAUUCCGACAGGCAUCUGUCGGAGUUGAAAGCUUCGGUGGUCGGAGAUGGGCAUGCGUUGUAUUAGCUAGAUGGUG
rnacentral:rRNA from 1 species